rnacentral:misc_RNA from 1 species
ACUGUGAAAUUCUGACAGUUCUACAGCUGAUCACACGUGUACAUUUACUGUUUGUUAAUGAAAUAGUAUAAAUAUGAGUUAAAACCGGUUAAUUUGCCACAAUUUCCUAAAUUUCUCUGUCGCGAUGAUCAUAAUCAAAUCCAAUGAUGAUACACCGAAGUAUUUUGAACGUGUUUAUUAGUGUGCUGGUGAUCAACCAGUGCUUGGCCUACUUCAAGGUAGACAAACAGGAUGAUUGCUUUUGUCAAUUAUCCGGAAAAAUUGAUGAAUGUACCUGCAACAUCGAUACGGUUGACUACUUCAAUAACGUGAAAAUAUAUCCAAGGCUCAAAAGCUUGUUGCUGAAGGACUAUUUUAGAUUUUACAAGGUAAACCUGAAAAGACCAUGUCCGUUUUGGUCAGACGACAGCAAAUGCGCAAUGCGUUUCUGUCAUGUGGAGGCGUGCUCUGCAGAUGAAAUCCCUAUAGGAAUGAAAGAAACUGAAAAAAAUAAUGGGUUUCCGAAGGAUCACAUAGAAACCACACCCAGUGACAAAUAUUCUGAACAACAGAACGAAGACUGCACUUCACAUCACAAUGAGUUAGAUUAUUUAAAUAAGACGCUUUCUGAAAAAACUCAAAAAGAUAUGCAACUCUGGGAUGCAUACGAUGAUGCCCUCGAUAACUUUUGCGCUAUAGAUGAGAACGACGAGGAGGCUGAAUAUGUCGAUUUGUUACUGAAUCCGGAGAGAUAUACCGGUUUUGCUUACAGAUAUGCAGGCGUGUCAGCUCAACGAAUAUGGAAAAGCAUCUACCUCGAAAACUGUUUCCGACCGAAGCGAUCAUUUGAUUUCAACUCCUACAUACAGAGUGGCAAGCUGAACGAACUCUGUCUUGAACAAAGGGUUUUCUAUAGGGUCGUAUCAGGGUUACAUGCCAGCAUCAAUACGCACUUGUGUGCAAACUAUUUGCUGUCGGAAGGUUUGAGUCUCGCUGACCCUAAAGGAAAAUGGGGGCCGAAUCUGGUGGAGUUCCAGAAGAGAUUUUCGCCUGAAAUGACCAACGGAGAGGGUCCCAACUGGUUGAGAAACUUGUAUUUCGUGUAUCUUGUUGAGCUGAGAGCACUUGCUAAGGUGGCGCCUUAUUUGGAGAGUGAGGAAUAUUAUACUGGUAAUGACUCCGAAGACUGGGACACUCAAAUGGCUAUGAAAGACUUACUCAAAGUGAUCAAGUCAUUUCCGGAUCAUUUCGACGAGACUACCAUGUUCAGAAACAGGCAGCAGGCAGAGAAACUCAAGUACGAGUUCAAACAGCACUUCCGAAACAUAACCAGGAUUAUGGAUUGUGUUGGUUGCGACAAAUGUCGUCUUUGGGGUAAAUUGCAGACGCAGGGAUUGGGCACGGCCCUCAAAAUUCUGUUCAGCGGUAAAUUCGAUAAGUUCGAGUAUCACGUGUCGCUCGACUCUCACAACAAAAAAGAAUUUCAGCUGCACAGGAACGAAAUCGUUUCGUUGUUAAAUGCAUUCGGUAGAUUGUCGAAUAGUGUGUAUAAGCUGGACGAUUUUAGGCAGAUGUUGAGAUAGCGUGAUUGCGUUGAUUUUUUUCGUGUACCUCCUUCUAUGUGAUAGACUUUUUAGAAAGAGUAUAUUUAUAUAUAAAGAAAUCCGGUAUCGAUUUCUUUUAUGGACGUUUAUUGAUUAAUACUUAUAGUGAAAUUUUGGGCUUGACGGGUGAUAACAUUGAAAAUAAUUGUGAAGGUAAAGUACACUUGGUUUUGAAUUAAUACUGAAAAACUUGCAAUUGACACAAGUUUUACUUGAAUUCUAACUUUUACAUAUUAUGUCAUUCCAAGAUUAUACUUCAUGAUUUGAAUUCCAAUUUUAGAUAGAUUCUAGAGCUUCACAUUGAGGAGAAGUAAAUCAUUUGAAUUACUUCAGUAUUUCUUAGAUUAAGUCCCGAACAAGCACUGUUCACAAACACCAGAACUGUAACACGUUUCUCGAUGCGCAUUUCCCAAACACGUUGGGUCAUCAGGAGAUGAAGUAAUCUAUCUCAUCUCCUCUUGAACUAAUCUAGUUCACUACCUAGGUACACCAAAUUACUUGGUGAAACGUGCGUUGAGGAGAGAGUUGCUUGUUUUGUUUUUUUUCUAUGAUGAAUAUCUAUUUCCCAUUAAACAAUACCAGGCAGAGGUGUAGAUGAUGAUGCUGAAAUUUUCAGGGAAGCUUCAGGAAACACCUUAAAACAAUUUUUUUUGCUUGGAUGAAAUAUCAGAUUUUUUUAUUAUUUA